GACGAACGCUGGCGGCGUGCUUAACACAUGCAAGUCGAACGGAAAGGCCCUGCUUUUGUGGGGUGCUCGAGUGGCGAACUGGUGAGUAACACGUGAGUAACCUGCCCUUGACUUUGGGAUAACUUCAUGAAACUGGGGCUAAUACCGGAUAGGAGCUCCUGCUGCAUGGUGGGGGUGGGAAAGUUUCGGCGGUUGGGGAUGGACUCGCGGCUUAUCAGCUUGUUGGUGGGGUAGUGGCAUACCAAGGCUUUGACGGGUAGCCGGCCUGAGAGGGUGACCGGAUACAUUGGGACUGAGCUACGGCCCAGACUAGUACGGGAGGCAGCAGUGGAGAAUAUUGCACAAUGGGCGGAAGCAUGAUGCAGCAACGCCGCGUGCGGGAUGACGGCCUUCGGUUUGUAUACCGCUUUCGCCUGUGACGAAGCGUGAGUGACGGUAAUGGGUAAAGAAGCACCGGCUAACUACGUG
rnacentral:rRNA from 1 species